rnacentral:rRNA from 1 species
AUGGCCACCGCUAUCAGUGCGGCAGUGUGGGCAUUGCGCAAGGCGCUGGCUCCCGUUACGGAUGACUUUCUCAAGGAUUGGGCGGCCAGCGACAGUCUCGGCCCCAACAUCACCGCCCUCAAGAUGGAGCUGCUGCGCGCACAGGGGAUCCUCUAUAACGCGCAUGACAGGGAGAUCACCAACCCUGCGCUCCAGGACCUGUUGCACAUGUUGCGGCAGCUGGCGGACGGGGCCGAAGACGUGCUUGAUGAACUGGACUACUUCCGCAUCCAGGACAAGCUCGACAGCACCUACCAUGCAGCUGAUAAGCAUGCCGGUGGCUGCACCCAUGGCCUCGCUCUGAACGCGCGGCACACUGCCAGAGCUGUUGCCAACAAAUUCAAGUUCUCCUCGGGCGGCAACAAGCAGACACCAAAAUUGAAGUUUGAUCGUGUGGAUAUGUCUAAAAGGAUGGCAGACAUUGUACAGCAGCUGGAUCCUAUAUGUGCUAAGGUGAAGGAAAUCCUUGAUCUAGAGCUUCGGAACCUCAAACCUGCCUAA